GUGUAUUUCUUAAAAACUUUUUAUAAAAUAUGCUUAUUAUAACAACUUUGGAAACUUACAACAAGGAAAUUAAAAUUAUCUGUAAUCUCUCCCCCCCAAGAAUAGUGUAUAUAGAGGGAUGAGGAUUCAUCGGCUGUUUUUCUAGAGUUUCUAUUAGAAUUUUCAGAUGUGUUUGGGUCUCUCUGUGUCCUCAGAUUGAAGGAGUAGUAUCUUAUAUAUAUGGUUGAUCCAAACAGCCAGAGACGUCAUUAGUUGAAGCAUACGUGUCAAGAGUCCUGUGUUCCUUUUUCAAGCCUCAGAAAAUAUAUAACUAGCACUGCGAGAACAGUUUCUUUACACAGAUCAGGUGUUGAACUGAUUUUUUUUUUUUUUUUUUAAAACAUCAGACGGGUAACGUGCCGGUGUCAUAAAAAGGUUUGGAAGGAGGCACAUGUCAUGCAGCAGCGUGAACACCCAAUCAUCACGCUCAUGAACUACAAAAGGAUCUGAACUGAUUCUUAAGUGAAAAUCUUACCUAUUAAAGAUAUAUGCACCACAUGAUUUUAGCGUAUAUGCAAAGGAUUUGGUCCUCAGGGGAUCCAGAUUCUCUGUUGUACUUUUUGAAGAACUUUAUAACUCUUAAGUUUCGGAACCCCAGCACUCCAAAUAAGAGGUGUAUGUUUGAAUUUUAGUAUAUGUGCUGCCAAAGCAAGCACGAGGUGUAUGUUUGAAACCAUCCUUGGUAUAGAGAUGAUAAGUAGACCCUAAGUUCCUGUUUUGAUUUCAAGUUCUUUAUAAGGACUUUCCAAUUUUUUUUUUUUUUUCAACUUACAGUUGACUCCUAGAGUUCUCCUACCCUGAUGGAACGAACCCUGCAUAAAGGUAGAUUAAGUUUCAAGACCCUAAAAAGGAGUGAAGGGAAGAGGCAACCGAAAGGUCCAGAAAAUAGAAAACAACCUAUUCACAUUUCAAAGGAUAGUAGAUGAUAUAUUUGUUAUUGAAAAUGCACAUUGAUAAGAGCCAUGAAGACUGGGAGCUUGAUCAGCAGCGUUUCCGUGCUUGCAAAGUCAACCUGAACCCCCAGGAGCCUGUCUUCUGUGACCAUCACACCAGCAGGGCGGAGUGCUGCUACAGACAGCUGCACUGUGAGUCCCGACCUGUGUUCUCGGUGACUGCCCAGGAAUCCACACAGUUCCUCUUGGGUGUUGGGCACCUGUUCCCACCUAAGCUGUUCUCCACUGUCACCUGAUCUAGCUUCUCUCUGAAGGAGGGAUCCCUCCUCAUGCUUCACAGAGAAUUCGAAGCCAUCCAAGAGGACAUUGGUCAUUCUCUUCUGCACUCCAAGUUCAGUGCUUCACACAUGCUGUGUGAUACCACUAGUUAUCCACUCCCCCGCUUUAUGGAGUCUCCCGGAAACGUCACACGUGCUGUAGCAUCUUCUUGCUUGAGAGGGUAGGGAAACAGAUGCAAAUGCUCUCCAUCUUCUCGCCACCGCUCCAGCCCUCUGCUCCCUGUAAUAGCCAUGCUUCUCUGAAUAUUCACUUCACUUGAUCACUCCCCUCCCCAACCCAGUCUCACGUCACCCUUCAACCCAUUCUGAUUUGCCUCCCACCCACCAUUCCACUGAAACUGACCUUGCAAAGGUCUUACUACCAGUUAGGCUUCUUUUCAGACUACCUUUACUUCUGACAGCAUUCCUGCCACAGCUCCAGCUCUACGUCUUCUCUGAGAGUCAGUGAAGAAAAAUGAUCCCCAGGAUUCCCAACAAAAUUCUUACAGCCUCUGAUCCUGGAUCAGUCACGGAACACACAGGCUCUUCUGAUAUCCUGGCCAAAGAGUUUCAUAUGUACAUAUGAUAUGUAGCUUUUUAACAGUUACCUAGUAUUCUGUUGCAUGAAUGUGUCAUAAUGUAUUCAACUUCUCCUUUGAUGAUGGACAUUUAGGUUUUUCUAGCAAUUUACUAACAUAAAUAAUGCCAGGAUGCACUUUCUUGUACCUUGAUCACCCACAUACACUCUCAUACUCACAUUGUUCUUUCUUCACAAAACUCAUCAAGUUCAUAACUGCUGAAUUGUGAUUUUUGUGUUUUAAGGAACUUUCCAUCACACCACCAACAUGUCACAUUGUAUGUUCCUGUGACCACUUUGAGGAAGGGAAAGGGGGAGGGGACACUGGAGGCUGCAAUAUCUAGACUUUGUCUUCAUUCUCUUCGGUUCACCAAAUAUAGUCCAGCUGUAAAGAUAUGUGCUCUAUGAAGUUUACCCUAAAAUUAGAAGAAAGAAAAGGUCCAAUUUUCUGUAGAAGCCCCACUUGCCUUCUCAUCUCCCUGGGCCACCUGGGAAUGCAGGAGGGAUACCUUUCUCCUAAUCUGUUCUUCCUCAUAGCCUCUGCUUCCACCCUAUCAAUUCACAAGAACUGUUAAAAACUUUGACAUUUCCCAUUUCCCUUCUUUUUCCAUUGUCUAAGAGCUGCUGUGCCCCAAGCCACAGAAAGCACCUACCACAACCCUCCAGCCUCAAAGAGGUGACAUUGCCCCCAGACCAAUGCCUGACUUCUUAGCCCUUGUCUUGGUCCUCUGCUGAUGGUCCUGCCCUCGCCCAUCCCGUACUGCCUCUGUCCUGCCAGUCCAUCACUUUGAAGCUGUAAGUCAGCACUUCUGGCUAACUAAAUGCAGCAUCUCUCAGAAGAAUGUCUGAGAGAUGUGUUCUUUCUGCUUCUGACGCCUGAUAUUUUAAAAAUAAUGUCAUUUACAAAAAUAAUGUCUUUAGAAACCUCUCUAGGCUAACUUCAGUUUAGAAGUCCUAGAACUUGGCUCUCAUACCCUCCAGAUCUCCAGUUACUACCUGGUUACACUUUCUGUACUUUUAUUGCUGAUAAAUAAGCUUUCUCUUCCUUAACUUGCAGAACAUUUUUUCCCAUUUUUUUCUCUUGAGCUUCCACAUUCUCAGUUCCAUGACAAAACACUGUCAACCCCUUUUCCAGUCCUUAGAACAGAAGUCCUCUUCCUCCUCCUCCCUCCAUGCCCAGCAGGGAGUGAAAACACGGACUGAAGCUGUCCCCUCUCCGACCCCUGCUCUUCAUCAGCGUUCUCAACUCCACAGGGGCUCCCAGGAAAGCUCCCAGCCCACUUUGGAAUAUAGUCUUCCUUCAGGUCACAACAUUCGCUGAUAUUUUAUAAAUAAAACUUUCUUUUACUGGUACUUGGUAAACUGAAUGAACAAGUUGUUGUUUAGUUGCUAAGUUGUGACUGACUCUUUUGUGGUCCCCUGGACUGUAGCCAGCCAGGCUCCUCUGUCCAUGGGAUUCUCUAGGCAAGAAUACUGGAGUGCACUUCCAUUUUCUUUUCCAGGGGAAUUUCCUGACCCAGGGAUCAAACCUGUGUCUCCUGCAUUGCCAGGUGGAUUCUUUACAACUGAGCCACCAAGGAAGCCCAAAUGAACAAGUACUACUCAUAAAAUAAAGAGGGAACUUGUAACUGCCA
rnacentral:lncRNA from 1 species